CAGCAGCCGCGGGAAUACGGAGGGUGCAAGCGUUAUCCGGAUUUAUUGGGUUUAAAGGGUCCGUAGGCGGAUCUGUAAGUCAGUGGUGAAAUCUCACAGCUUAACUGUGAAACUGCCAUUGAUACUGCAGGUCUUGAGUAAAUUUGAAGUGGCUGGAAUAAGUAGUGUAGCGGUGAAAUGCAUAGAUAUUACUUAGAACACCAAUUGCGAAGGCAGGUCACUAAGAUUUAACUGACGCUGAUGGACGAAAGCGUGGGGAGCGAACAGGAUUAGAGACCCCAGUAGUCCCUGUCUCUUAUAC
rnacentral:rRNA from 1 species